rnacentral:rRNA from 1 species
GCACGAAUGGCAUAAUGAUGGCAGCGCUGUCUCCAGCAGAGACUCAGUGAAAUCGAAAUCGCAGUGAAGAUGCUGUGUACCCGCGGCUAGACGGUAAGACCCCGUGAACCUUUACUACAGCUUUACAUUGAACUUUGACCUAACUUGUGUAGGAUAGGUGGGAGGCUUUGAAGCAGAUACGCCAGUAUUUGUGGAGUCAACCUUGAAAUACCACCCUGGUCAUGUUGGGGUUCUAACUUAGAUAUUCACAAUAUCGAGGACAAUGUAUGGUGGGUAGUUUGACUGGGGCGGUCUCCUCCUAAAGAGUAACGGAGGAGUACGAAGGUGCGCUCAGAACGGUCGGAAAUCGUUCAAAGAGUAUAAAGGCAAAAGCGCGCUUAACUGCGAGACCCACAAGUCGAGCAGGUACGAAAGUAGGUCUUAGUGAUCCGGUGGUUCUGUAUGGAAGGGCCAUCGCUCAACGG